rnacentral:lncRNA from 1 species
UGGCGGUUGUGCAGCAAGAGAUCUUCCGAUAGUCAUCCGGAUUCACGGCACAAUACAACAUAUUGAUGGCCUUUGCGUUAUUUUCAAUCUUCUUGACGUCUUCGGCAUUAUAUUCAUCUUUUGGAACCAUGAUUUCCCCAACUUUCUUUGUCGGCAUUUGUUCACCGUUCUUGAUGAUAUGCCAUAAUCGAAAGUUAUUUGAUUGGAUGAAUAUUCUCAUCCUCUCUUUCCAAUAUGUAUAAUUGGUUCCAUCAAAUAGUGGAGGCCUAAUGGUAGAGUGUCCUUCGCUCAUCAUACCUGCGUUCAACAUUCUCAUCAAAA